GUCUUACGGAACGGUCACUCUAGCGGCCACUUUGAACAACAACAGCACGCGUCGCGUCUCUUCGCCUUUCUCCUUUUUUUUUUAUAAUAAACUACACUACACUCCUGGCAUUUUUUCGUGUCGCGCGUGAUAAAAUUGGCAAUAAAUAAAACAUAGUGUGCGCGUAGUGUCAAUUUGAAAAUUUAAACAGAAAGUUAAACACCUUGCCUUACAACAACAACAAAUACUAAAAAAGAGAAAGACGAAUCCAAAGCCAGGACCUUCACAGUUGAAUAAGGAUCGUGUGCGAGAGGGACAGAGCGGGACUUGAUCAACGGGAUACAGGGUGACAUGUGGAGUCCGACGCACUGCAGUGUAACGGUGCAGCGAGCGCGAGGGCUGCUAACCAAAGGCAAGAAUGGCACCAAUAACUGCUUCGUCACCAUUGCAUUGGGCAAGGAGAAGUACCAGACGUCGGUCAAGGACAAGGCUGAGAAUAGCGUCAAUUGGAAUGAAGAAUGUGAACUAAAAAUCCCCGAUCAAGGCAAUCGCGCCGAGCUCACCUUGACCUGCCUGCACAGGAACAAUCUGGGCAUCGAUGAGUUCCUCGGCCAGGCCUCGUUGCCCCUCAACGAGAUGGACGUUUACGACCGGCCAAGGGCCAAGUGGUUUAAGCUGGAGAGCAAGCCCGGCAAGGAGAAGAAGAACAAGGAGCGUGGCGAGCUGGAAGUGCGUAUCGCUUUUGUGGUCAAGUCCGGCUCGUUGACCGACCUUAGCAAGAAGGAUAAGCACAAGUCUUCCAUUGGCCAGCUGGCCAGUUCUGUGGGCGGCAGUUUGUUGUCCAUUGGCAACGGCGAGAAGCGGCGUAGCAUCAAGAAGUUAGCUGGUUCACUUAGCUCCAAGCUGCAUAUUCGCAGCAAAAAGAAGAACCAGGAGGGAGGAGCCGAUGACAGCAGCUCCUUUGGUGGCUCAUUUGCCAGCCUGGGUACGCCGAACAGCUCCAAUGGCAGGGGUCAGAAUGGCGGCAGUGGACGGCGACGUGGCGGUCAACGGGCAGGCGAGGCUGAUCCCGGUGUGAUCAGUGAAGAUGAGGAUGAGUUUGUCUUCGACAAUCUCUCGCACAAGAGCUCGGGCAGCUCACUCAACAUCCAACGUAGUGGCCUGCAGCCGCCGCCAGUCGGAACGCCCAACUUUGCGCCGCGCCAUCCAUCGCCCCUGCUGAGCAACGGACUGGGCGGCGCUGGAAGCGGCAGCGGGAAAGGUAAGCAAGCGGUUAUGCCAGCAACGCUCGAUGAGGAUGCGCCCAUCGAUGCGGAUAUGGAACAGCUUGAGCUCGAUUUCAGUGUCCGUGCCCAUGCCCGCGCCAACGCCAGCGGAAAUGCCAGCACCCUGCCGCCACCCUCGAAGCCGCCGCGCAAUCCCUUGUCACAGGCGGACGAGCAGCCGGCUGCUGGAAGUCUGGAACGUGAGAAGCCCAAGGAGAAGCCAGCCGAGUUGGAGAACGAAUGGGCUUCCAAGUUAUAUGGCGGUGGCAAGUAUUUGGAAAUCGGUAGCAGUGACUCCUUGAAACGUCGCAGCUGGGAGGAUCGAGUGCCGCUCCCAGCCAGUGUAGAGGAGCCACCGCCAGUGCCCUCGCCCAGCUCAUCGUCUAGCUCUAGCUCGGAUAGCGAUGAUGAUGAUGAUAAUGAUGAGCACCCACCGUAUACAGCUCCACCACCUGUACCCGUCCUUGCUUCUAAUCCCGUUCCAGCUGCUGCCGCUGUUGCUGCUGAACCAGUGGUGGCCAGCACAUCCUCGCUCUUCUCCCCCGAUGUUGAGCACCGCAACUUUGAUACCUUUAAUGCCAGCUUCGCUAAAUUCGAGCAGCGCAACAGCACAGCCAUCUUUGCAGAUGAACCCGAGUUGGAAGAUCUAACCGUGGAGCUAGAGAAGCCGGCACCCACGCCCACAGCACGCCCCAAGCCACAGCCACGUGUCACGUCCGAUCUAAGGGCAGAUGAGGAAAAGGCCAAGGAAGAGGCUGCGCGGCAACAGCGCGCCGAGGAGGAUGCCCGCCUAGAGGCGGAGCUGCGUCUGAAUGAGGAACGCCUGCGUGAAGAGGAGGCGGCUAUGCAGCGAGAGUUGGAGGAGGAGAAGGAGCGCCAGAAGCAAAUGCAGCUGGAUGAACAGCAGCGACGCGAGGCCAAGCGCCGGGAAGAAGAUCAAAGGCUUCUGAGCUUUGCCAAGCGACCAACUUCCCUUGAGGAGCCAGUCACUGAGAAGCAGGAGCUAAAACAUGAAAGGGAGUUUGUUGUGACCAAGCGGGAGCAGGAGCAGGAGGUGGAAACGACAGAGCCCGAACACAACUUCCUAACUCCCGAGCAGUCGCCAAAGGAGUUCCAGACAAAUGGCAGCGGCAGCGGAAAUGGUGAACGCUGGGAGAAGCGGCUGGGCAAGUUCAAAUAUGGCAAUAAGCGAGAUAAGUACAAUAACGACAAUGAGAGCAACUCGCCUAGUCCCAAGUCCACGGAGCGCAUCAUCAUUGGUCACGAGAAGUCGGGAUCGCAUGCAGAGCGCCGGUCGGAAAUAUCCGCUCAGCUGGCCAAGAAGUACGAGGGCAAGUCCCGGGAGGAACUAAUGUUAAUUGCCAAUGGAAUGGAGAAUGAGGCCUUGCUGCAACGGCAGCGAGUUAAAGAGCUGGAGGACUAUCUGGACAACCUGCUGCUGCGUGUGAUGGAGACACAUCCGAAGAUCUUGCAGAAUCCAUAUUCGCGUACCACGUCCGCCAAGAGGUACGCCAACUGGUCAUUCUGGUCGCUGUCUAGAACCACGGCCACCCACUAAUCAACUGCAUGAUUCUGACCUGCCGUUAUAAAAAUUACAUCAAUAUGAAUGACUUUCUAAAGUAAGUGCUGCGCAUGCUGCAAGUUGCAUUUAAGUAGACACUUAACCAACAAAUCCCCAACAACAACAACAACAACAACUACUACAACAACAUCACCAACAACAACACCACAACCCCCCCAAUAAGAACAACCAACUGCAAGACAACGAGUAACAAAGAACGCAAAGGCGCAAGAACUUCGGCUUAAGGAACCAUCGAAGGCGGGAUCGAACGGUUAAUAAGCCAAAAAAAACUGGUCAUCGUUUAAGCCAACUGGUUCCCUAACAGCUGGAGGAGGAGAUCGAUGGAGCCGGUGCAGUUAUGUUGUGUGAAUGAAACGAAACACCAAACCAACCAAACACCACGUUGCCUUUGUCGUGAACAGCGAAAUUCAAGUGCUUUCUAAAUCGUAAAUCCUAAGAAAAAGAGGGAAACGUAAACGUAGGCUUAAGGAGUGCAAAAAUUUUAAUUGAUAUUUUACGUAGCAUUCGUUCUUCUUUGUCGUUUGCCGACCCCUUCCCUAUUAAACCGAACUAAAUUAAUUGUACUAUAUAUAUAUAUACUACUACUACUACUAUGUUAUAUCUGGCAAUAACGCUGGAUCAUUGAUUUGCCUUGAUUCGAGUCCCUUUGUCGAUUGAUUGAAAUUAUCCAAAAGUAUUUUGUUUAUUCAUUAUUUUUUUUUUUUUGUAUGUCAAAUUUGUAUUGUAAUAUUGAAAAGUUUUUGUAAAGUGCUGCAUGGGAAGUGGCCUUAGUGGUUUAAGUCUUAAAUUAUUUAUGUUAAUAGCGGCUAAGCAAAAUAUGGGGGGAAUGGGGGGACCUAUGACCUAUGUAUGUCCCCUGCAAAAAAAAAAAAAACAAAAACAAACAAAAAAACACCACACACAGUUGAUAAAUAUGUUGAUACUACAAUGAUUUUACUUAUUGAUAUACACGCAAACGGAAUAAAAACAUUUUUAACAUUAA